AUUGAACGCUGGCGGCAGGCCUAACACAUGCAAGUCGAGCGGAUGAAGGGAGCUUGCUCCUGGAUUCAGCGGCGGACGGGUGAGUAAUGCCUAGGAAUCUGCCUGGUAGUGGGGGAUAACGUCCGGAAACGGGCGCUAAUACCGCAUACGUCCUGAGGGAGCAAGUGGGGGAUCUUCGGACCUCACGCUAUCAGAUGAGCCUAGGUCGGAUUAGCUAGGUGGUGGGGUAAAGGCCUACCAAGGCGACGAUCCGUAACUGGUCUGAGAGGAUGAUCAGUCACACUGGAACUGAGACACGGUCCAGACUCCUACGGGAGGCAGCAGUGGGGAAUAUUGGACAAUGGGCGAAAGCCUGAUCCAGCCAUGCCGCGUGUGUGAAGAAGGUCUUCGGAUUGUAAAGCACUUUAAGUUGGGAGGAAGGGCAGUAAGUUAAUACCUUGCUGUUUUGACGUUACCAACAGAAUAAGCACCGGCUAACUUCGUG
rnacentral:rRNA from 1 species